rnacentral:rRNA from 1 species
GGGGGGGGGGGGCGGGGGGCCGGGGGCGGGCGGGGCGAGCGGGGGCGUCGGGUCGGGUGGCGCGCGGGGGCGUGACGCGUGGGGACCUGCCCUUAGGUUCGGCAUAACUCCCCGAAAGGGGUGCUAAUACCGGAUAAUGUCUUCGGACCAAAGAUUUCUCGCCUUUGGAUGGGCCCGCGUUGGAUUAGCUAGUUGGUAGGGUAAAAGCCUACCAAGGCGACGAUCCAUAGCUGGUCUGAGAGGAUGAUCAGCCACACUGGGACUGAGACACGGCCCAGACUCCUACGGGAGGCAGCAGUGGGGAAUAUUGGACAAUGGGCGAAAGCCUGAUCCAGCAAUGCCGCGUGAGUGAUGAAGGCCUUAGGGUUGUAAAGCUCUUUUACCCGGGAUGAUAAUGACAGUACCGGGAGAAUAAGCUCCGGCUAACUCCGUG